rnacentral:rRNA from 1 species
AACGAACGCUGGCGGCAGGCCUCAAACAUGCAAGUCUAGGGGUGUAGCAAUACAUCACCGGCGGACGGGUGCGUAACGCGUGGGAAUAUACCUAUCGAUUCGGAACAACUGAGGGAAACUUCAGCUAAUACCGAAUACGUCCUAACGGAGAAAGAUUUAUCGUCGAUAGAUUAGCCCGCGUUCGAUUAGCUAGUUGGUGGGGUAAACGGCCCACCAAGGCGACGAUCGAUAGCUGUUCUGAGAGGAAGAUCAGCCACACUGGGACUGAGACACGGCCCAGACUCCUACGGGAGGCAGCAGUUUGGGGAAUCUUUGGACAAAUGGGGGGAAACCCGUAGAUCCAGCCAUGCCGCGUGAGUGAUGAA